UCAUGUUUUAUUUUCGAAACAACAAGAUACAACUAUCAACUACCUGAUGCUUUGUCAUAUUGUCACAAUAAAAAUAACUUUAUUCCAGAAAAUUGAGCUUUUGAUAAAGAUGGUGAAUCAAAAAUUUAUGUUUUCAAAUGGUCUAUACAUGCAUUAUCUACACGCAAUAUAUUGUGUGGUGUAUUGAAUUAUUUACCACCAGAAAUGAUUUUCAGUAAUUUACAUGAUGUUGACUUAUGGAGUGUUAGAGUAUUAUAUUAUGAUAUAGGUAAUCUACCUUGUGUUAUGUUAUGUUACCUAAAAGUUAUGAUAAUACAUAUGAAAAAAUUAUCAAAGCACAAUAUACACAGCGAUUUCAUGUUAGUAAGGUUGCUCGUGAUUUAGUUUUAAAGAUUGAAAAUAUUGUGUUGAAUGAUGUACUUGAUUUGAUUUGAUUUCUUGAACAUCAGAAAAAAAUGGGUACAUAAGAACAUGAGAAGCAAAUAAUUUAUUGAUGGUGAAACAAGAAAUUCAUCUAAUAUAGUUGCUGUUGGUAGAUUUCAUCCUGGUUUAUUAGCACUUUCACUUGGUACAACUACCCCACGACAACUAAGCAUUGAAUUCAUACAAAGACGUGGAUUAGAUGCAAAAUUUAUUUCCAUCGAACAAAGAACAACAGUUGUAUUUUACCAAAAAAAUUAGUUGCUGCCAGCUAUUAUCAUUGAGACGCUUUAUUACAUUUCACUGAAUCACAAAAAAGUGCUUUAUCAACAUCAGGACUUAUUAAAACAAUGAUUCAGAUCUAACGAAGAAAAUUAUGUGAGGCUUCAGCCUGAAUGGAUGUCAUUUAGAAAUCCAUUGACUAAAUAUAUAAAAUAUUUAGUUGUCAAAAAUUUAUCAAUUUUGUAUG